rnacentral:tRNA from 1 species
GCCGGUGUAGCUCAGUUGGUAGAGCAACUGACUUGUAAUCAGAAGGUCCCGAGUUCGAUUCUUGGCGCCGGCACCA